rnacentral:rRNA from 1 species
UACGUAGGUGGCGAGCGUUGUCCGGAUUUACUGGGCGUAAAGAGCGCGCAGGCGGUCGUUCAAGUCGCGUGUGAAAGCCCCCGGCUCAACUGGGGAGGGUCACGCGAUACUGAUCGACUCGAAGGCAGGAGAGGGUAGUGGAAUUCCCGGUGUAGUGGUGAAAUGCGUAGAGAUCCGGAGGAACACCAAAGGCGAAGGCAGUGUCCUGGGGAGUACCUGACGCUCAGGUGCGAAAGCCAGGGGAGCGAACGGG